UGCAGCUGGGCGUCGGUCUCGCGGUGCGCGUCGAUCUCCUGGAUCAGCAGGCGGGUCUGGCGGUUCGACUCCUCCAGCGCCACCC
rnacentral:tRNA from 1 species